AUAGUUCUUUAUCUCGUUAUCUGUUCUUCCCGGCAGUCUCCCAGCAAUCAAAGACCACCUGAAAAGAUCAAUCAGCAUCGACUUCCAGAAAGUAUCAAGCUUGAAGUCUUGUAAGUCAAAUUUAAUCUAUUGCAGAGACCGUCGAUACAUUGAGUCUUUUGUCAAUAAAAUAGUGUUGAUAGAGGAA